rnacentral:lncRNA from 1 species
UGUAUAGAACACGAAUGUAUUAUUAAAAAAUACGUAUACAUGUAUAAUUGAGUAUUAAACGUGAAAGAGCUAAAUUCUUUAUACGAGUAAUAACUCUGAAAAAGUAAAAAAUUAAAAUGGACAAUAGAGACUCGGGUAAUGGCCUAAUAGUAAUGGAUAAUUACUCUUAUUGAUAAACGAAAAUCGGGAAAAAAAUUAAAAGAAAAAAAGGAUCCCAAUAUAUAUAUAAAGGACUAUAGUCACUCGUCUAUACUAUUUAUUAACAACAAAUUUUUUUUUAUAAAAAAACAGUAACGCCGCCCAGCUAUACUAUAUUUUUUUUAAACAUUUGAAAAACUCUAGUAUAGCCGCACGACUAUACGAUUUAUAUAUAAAAAAAAGUGAACAGAUGCACAACCCUUUUCCGCCCACUUGUAAAAUAGUGUCAAAACUAGUCUAUUUUUAAAAUAAAAAAUAAAAAAAACAUGGAGUAUAGUCAAGCAGUUGUACAAUGUUUUUUUAUAAAAAAAAAAAAAAAAAAGGACCCUCUAGCGCCACGUGUCAAAAAUAAACGCCACGUGUCAAAAAUUAGUUUUUUUAUAUUUUUUAUUUUUUAAAUCGUAGUAUAGCCUCCCAGCUAUACUAUUUAAAUGCAUUCACGCCUGCUACACCCAACUUACAAAGUUUCGUAAAUAUUUUUUUGCAGUUGUAUUUAAAUAGAUGUCCGUUUCAACAAUUUCAUAUUUUAAUUUUCACGCGUGUGAUAGAUUGUCGUCUUAAAAGUUUUCCUUUAUCGCCCAUAUUUUUCUAAAGGCCCAUCUUAGCAGUUUUUUUUUUUUUUUUUUCUUUUGGUCAUUUAUAGCAUGUAAACUACUAAGAUGGAUGUUUAGAAAAAUAAGGGCAAUAAAGGAAAACUUUUAAGAUGACAAUUUAGCACACGCGCUUGAUUAAAAUAUGAAACUGUUGAAACAGACAUCUAUAUAAAUAGAUUGCGAAAAAUUAUUUACGAAACUUUGUAAGUUGCGCGUGUGAUUAAAAAAAAGCAUCUCGCACGCGUAGAAGCGCGUGCAGGGAGGCGUCUAAUGAACUUUAGGAGCUAGGGGGAUUCUUAUUCAAUUAAUUACCCACAUAUUAAUAUUAUCCAAAGCAAAUCCAACAUGAAUUGGAAAAUCUCAAAUAAUUUAAGUAAAAUAAUAUUUUCAUUUCACACAACGUCGUAGUUUUAGAUUAUGUACAUAUGUAUAUAUUAACAUAAUAUGCACAUAAGAGAAAGACAUGCAACGAUCAAGACCACUUGCGCCACCCAUUCAUCUCUAAUUGAUCUUUCACUUUUUCAUUGUCAAUCUAUACAUAAAUAACAUAAGAUGAGACCAAACUUAAACAUAUAUACUUUUUAAAUUUGUAUUAAACAAAUUUUUGCAUAAUUUGGGAACAUGUCUACU